AAACUCCUCCAGAAAUCUUUCCCACUAAAUCUUACUUCAUUUCCCUGGUCAUUUCAGUAAAGUGGAGAGGUUUAGUUGUUUUUUGGGGGGUGGGGUGGUGCCAGAUGGGCACAGAAUGCCUCACUGGGCACCACCACUCAGCACACAACAUUUAGGUGUGCCCUGAUCCACACCCCAGCAUCCUGAGAGGGGACAGAGCAUUCCACCUGGCCCCUUCAGAGUGGUUCCCUGAGUGGGCACAUGCAGGACCACCAGUCAUACCCUUGGCUGGAGCCUCACAAGCUGCCUCCUCCCUCCCCCAACUGGCCAAUGAUUCUAAGGAGGGAGGGAGGAGCUACUCAGUGUCCCUCAUCGAGUAUCUUCCUCCCUCACUGCUGGGGCUGUUCCUCUUCACUACCAGCCCAAUCAACUUCCCCCAGCCAUUAAGGUGUGUGGGUGGCAUUUCUGACAAUAAGGGAGCACUGAAGUGCAGCAACAUCUUGUCCAUAUCCCUUUUAUCUCUGCUACUCCCACCCUGCGCAGAGCAGGGCUAUGUCGGGUUAUGCAUGUGGUAUACUACAUGGGAAUUAUCCUAUGCAGGUAAAUCAACUUUUCGUCUGCUUUGUACCACUCAAGCAGUACUAAGUAAGUAGAAUAAGAGCCCGGAUCUCCCUCAACAUGUGAGCCACCUUCUCAGGUGAAUCAUGUUAUGUUUCCUCUCCCUCCAUCUUAAGUUUCACAGAAAUUAAAUCUGCAUUUCUUCAAAGGCCACCCAAAUGUAUCCCUGCAAGUUGUUCUUGUUGCUUUAGAAAUUAGGCAACAAAUACACAUCCUGAUUUACAAAUAAGAGAUCUGUGGCAUAUAUAUAUUUCUUCCAUGUAAUUGGUUCUCAUUUAAUCCUGACCUGAAUGUAGAUCAUUCUUGAUGUACAGCUUCAAAUAGCCUUUGAACUAGGAUUUUUGGUUGUUGUUACUUUAAAUGAUGAAAAAAUGCCCUCUUAUUUUACAGCUUGCAUCAGAUGCACCAAGAUGAAGAACAGUGACAACAUAGUUGUUCACCCAUAACCCCAGGACAUCAGGUGGCAUGAAUCAACGAAAACAUCAUUCCAGGAAUGGGGGCUGUUAUGGUACUGGGAAGAUGAAUUGGCUGAGAUGUCAGAAUCCUGAAGCACUCCAAAGAUGGAUCAGGCUUGCUAAACAGUCCUGAAGGAACUUCUCCAUAAUAUGAUAUAUCCAAAGACUUAGAAAAUACUUCUUAGGUUGAGAGCUACAGAAUUCACUCUAGGGUUGAAAUCCUGACCCCACUGAAGUCAGAGUUUUUUCCCAUUGAAUUCAAUUGGGGGGGGAGGGUGUCAAGAUUUCACUCUGAACUGAUUCACUCUUCAGCAUGGACUGUCAGCUGCCUAAAUAAUGUCUGUGGCAUUUUUGAGGAUAAAGAGACCCAUAGCAACUCAGCAGUGUGCUGAGACCACAAAACUCAUUUCAAUUAGGAAUCUCGAUGUCUGUAUUCCAAAGUUUAAAGGUCUUAAUUGUUUUUAUAAUAAAUAUCAUUAACAAGGUUGAGGGUUUGUUGUUGAAGGAAAUACAACGUAUUCAAGAAUAAAA